rnacentral:misc_RNA from 1 species
CCGAGUGAGGGUCCCCGUGGCCCGAACCUCCAACCCAUGUCUACCCUUACCUCUGUUGCUUCGGCGGGCCCGUGGGGCGACCCACCGCCGGCUCCGGCCGGCCCGUGCCCGUCAGAGGACCUAUGAACUCCAGUAACGGUGAUGUCUGAGCACGAAACAAAUAAUCA